CUUGAAUGUGGGCGAGAACAAGCAUAUAGAAGAGAUAGUAAGUGUUGAAAAGUUAGAUGAUGUUCAAGUUGGGGAUGAAAAUUUUAACCCAUUUUUUAAACUCCAAGUGCUCAGCUUGCAUUAUUUACCACAACUGAAAAGCAUAUAUUCCAAAGCCUUGUCCUUUCCCUCUCUAGAAAAAAUCAAAGUAUAUGAAUGCCCACAG
rnacentral:misc_RNA from 1 species